rnacentral:rRNA from 1 species
AGUCAUAUGCUUGUCUCAAAGAUUAAGCCAUGCAUGUCUAAGUACGGCUCUAGUACGGUGAAACUGCGAAUGGCUCAUUAAAUCAGUUUUGGUUCAUUUGAUCGUGAAAGUUACAUGGAUAACUGUUGUAAUUCAAGAGCUAAUACACGCUAAGAGUGUCGCUCUCUGGGCGGCGCGCUUUUAUCAGACCAAAACCAAUCACCUUCGGGUGUUCAUUGUGGUGAGUCUGGAUAAACUAGCUGAUCGCAUGGUCUCGAACCGGCGAUGGAUCAUUCAAGUGUCUGACCUAUCAACUGUCGAUGGUAGCGUAUUGGGCUACCAUGGUUGUAACGGGUAACGGAGAAUUAGGGUUUGGUUCCGGAGAGGGAGUCUGAGAAACGGCUACCACAUCUAAGGAAGGCAGCAGGCGCGCAAAUUACCCAUUCCCGACUCGGGGAGGUAGUGACGAAAAAUAACAAUUCAAGACUCUUAACGAGGCCUUGAAGUUGGAAUGAGUACACUUUAAAACUUUUAACGAGUAACUAU